rnacentral:lncRNA from 1 species
UGAUUCAUGUAUCAGGGUGACCGUGGAAGGCGUAUCACCGUUCUGUUGGCCCAGUCCUGACAGGAGUAGGUGCCUAGUUUGUGAUUGUUAUCGAAGGAGCUCCAUGCUGAAGAACAUAGCUUGUAACUGUAUCACAUGUGGAGCUUGUAACUGUGAUUGCCAUACUUGUAGAGCUUCUGGAGAACGUUUGGAGUAUCACGUGUAGAGCUUGUAUAUGUUAGAGCUUAUUAUGUGUAGAGCUUGUAAAGUAUAUGUUAUUUGUACAAUAGGAGCUCUGUACUGAAUCUGACUGAUAAUAUUUGGAGUAUUAUGUGUGUU